GCCGCCGAAGUAGCCGCUGAUGUCGCUGAAGCAGCUGCUGCUGCUGCCGCCAACGUAGAUAAUGAUGUAGAAAUGUUCGAGUUCGACCAGCAGCCAGCUGAUCAUGCUGUCUAAUCAGCACAACGCAAACAAAAAAAAAAACAAUUGUAACAUUAGUUAUUAAGGCUAUCCCGACCAUGUGGGAUAGUAGCGUAGCAAAAGGUUGACACCCCAUUUGGUUGUUGUUGACUGCGCAGGAGUACAAAUGGGGCGUUUUUUCUUUAUAUGAGAAACACCCUAGUGUACAACUAGUGAAUAGAAAAACAACAUGCACCCAAUUCAUUUUUAAUACUAUCGUCAUGCACUGAAAUGAAUCGCUUACCGAGUUCCGAAAAUAGUUGACCCAAUAACAACUUGUACUUCGGCAGUCGUUGAAUGGGUUGCACUAAAAAACUAUUCACACCAAGCUUAUCGACGAUUUCAUUUUGAAUUUGCUUGAAAUAGUCUUUCUGUAAACAAAGGACAAAUGAAUCAUCUCUUAAUAAUCAUCUUUAAUAAUAUCAAUAAACCUCAAUGAAAUUAAGAAAUGUGUGGCAAAUCUUAACAAUGUCCAUAUUGCAUUCUUUCAGAGCUGGAUAGAAAAUGUUCUCAUGAAAAUCUUUGAUUCGAUUAACAUUGCCAAAGACGCGAUACUGUUGUCCACGCAGCUGAGGUGGCAUAUCUUUUCGAUGGAAAUUUUUCACAUAACCACCGAUGCCAUGUUUCAAAGCUUUAAUAUAGGUUUCCACGUUGUACAGAAGCUCUUCAAUGGUAUUGGUGAUUUGACUGAAAUUUUAAAAUCAAGAAACAUCGAGUAAGAAAAUGGAACGUGUAAAAAAGCUCGCUGUGAUAUUCAUACCCAGAUGAUGCUGAUGACAUUGAAUUGAAUGAAGGGAAUUUGGCCAAUUAAUCUUUUCAAGUAUUCCAGACGGUCUAAAAUAAUGAUAAAAAAUCAUUUACGCUAUGCAUGGAAGAGAGAAAAUUACACCAGUUCUAUCACCGUCUGUUGAAUCAUUCGACACUUUUGACUCGUCCAAAUUACAGCUUAAAGUGAAAGUUUACUUUUAAAUAUGUAUUACUUUUAGAUAUUCCGAAAAAAAAGCAAUGAAUUUACCGACUUUUGAUAAUUUCAUCAGUUAAUCUUUGGUGGAAUACUCAAACAUGUAUCAAUUUUAUGUAAAAAAAAUAUUUUUUCGGUGUCAUCGGCAUAAGCCGUAUUUUGAAUUCGGAAUAAGCCGUAAAUCAUCAAACUUCUAAUAUACUGGCACAAAUAAACUAAAAAUAAUCGUAAUAUUGUCUUUAAAGACAUCGAAAAUAUAUUUUGACGAAAAAAACACA